rnacentral:rRNA from 1 species
GACGAACGCUGGCGGCGUGCCUAAUACAUGCAAGUCGAACGCUUCUUUCCUCCCGAGUGCUUGCACUCAAUUGGAAAGAGGAGUGGCGGACGGGUGAGUAACACGUGGGUAACCUACCCAUCAGAGGGGGAUAACACUUGGAAACAGGUGCUAAUACCGCAUAACAGUUUAUGCCGCAUGGCAUAAGAGUGAAAGGCGCUUUCGGGUGUCGCUGUUGGAUGGACCCGCGGUGCAUUGGCUAGUUGGUGAGGUAACGGCUCACCAAGGCGACGAUGCAUAGCCCACCGGAGAGGGUGAUCGGCCACACUGGGACUGAGACACGGCCCAGACUCCUACGGGAGGCAGCAGUAGGGAAUCUUCGGCAAUGGACGAAAGUCUGACCGAGCAACGCCGCGUGAGUGAAGAAGGUUUUCGGAUCGUAAAACUCUGUUGUUAGAGAAGAACAAGGACGUUAGUAACUGAACGUCCCCUGACGGUAUCUAACCAGAAAGCCACGGCUAACUACGUG